rnacentral:rRNA from 1 species
UACGUAGGGGGCGAGCGUUGUCCGGAUUUAUUGGGCGUAAAGAGCUCGUAGGCGGUUUGGUAAGUCGGGUGUGAAAUCUCCACGCUCAACGUGGAGGGGCCACUCGAUACUGCCAUGACUCGAGUCCGGUAGAGGAGUGUGGAAUUCCCGGUGUAGUGGUGAAAUGCGUAGAUAUCGGGAGGAACACCAGUGGCGAAGGCGACUUCCUGGCCUGUUCUUGACGCUGAGGCGCGAAAGCUAGGGUAGCAAACGGG